AGUCCAUGGGGUCCCAAAGAGUGGGACGCUACUGAGUGACUGAGCACAUAGAUAUAAAGAUGUCUGUUCUUUGAACUCUUCAAGCCAGUUUUUAUCUGUUUUCUAUUUGAAAUUCCCAAGUUGUGGCUAAUACUUACCCAGGGAACUUGAGACUGGGGAAAAUACCCUGUAUUUAAAACUGAUUUGUUUUUUCCUGUCGAUUAUCUGUUGACAUUGCUUCUCUGGUGUCCAGAUUCAAGAGCUAAAAAUGAAAACUCUAAUGUUUGUUUGAAGUUUGUUCCUCCUUUAAGGAAGCUGCUGUCUCUGCUAUAAGACUGUAGCUUUUUCUCCUUUUUUUCUGUGGAAUUCAGGAUGGCUGCUGUAGCUCCAGGCAUCAUGUUUGCAUUCAACGUAGGAAGAAAGGAGAAAAAAAUGCGACACUAAUUACAUCAGAAAAGACAAAGAAUCUUUCUGGAUGUCUAUGGCCCAUGAACCAGAACAGUCUCAAGCAAGGGAAGCUGUUCCCUGACCAAGGAUCAAACCUGUGCCCCCUGCAAUGGAAACUCGGAGUUUUAACCACCGGACUGCCAGGAAAGUCCCAGCUACAACCUUCUAAAGCUUAAAGCAGAUUCAGGAUCACGUCCGUGCUUAACACAGUACCCAUGGCCCUCACUAAAUAAAUCUAAACUGUUUACAAAAAUAAAUCUAAACUGUUUA